rnacentral:rRNA from 1 species
CCUACGGGUGGCAGCAGUGAGGAAUAUUGGUCAAUGGUCGGGAGACUGAACCAGCCAAGCCGCGUGAGGGAGGAAGGUACAGAGUAUCGUAAACUGCUUUUGUCAGGGAACAAAGACUGGGACGCGUCCCCGGAUGAGUGUACCUGAAGAAAAAGCAUCGGCUAACUCCGUGCCAGCAGCCGCGGUAAUACGGAGGGUCCGAGCGUUAUCCGGAUUUAUUGGGUUUAAAGGGUGCGCAGGCCGUCUGCUAAGUCCGCGGUCAAAGCCCGGGGUUCAACCCCGGCCCGGCCGUGGAAACUGGCAGUCUCGAGUUGGAGAGAAGUAUGCGGAAUGCGCGGUGUAGCGGUGAAAUGCAUAGAUAUCACGAAGAACUCCGGUUGCGAAGGCAGCAUGCUGGCUCCACACUGACGCUGAGGCACGAAAGCGUGGGUAUCGAACAGGAUUAGAUACCCUAGUAGUC